AUUGAACGCUGGCGGCAUGCCUUACACAUGCAAGUCGAACGGUAACAGGUCUUCGGAUGCUGACGAGUGGCGAACGGGUGAGUAAUACAUCGGAACGUGCCUAGUAGUGGGGGAUAACUACUCGAAAGAGUGGCUAAUACCGCAUGAGAUCUACGGAUGAAAGCAGGGGAUCGCAAGACCUUGUGCUACUAGAGCGGCCGAUGGCAGGUUAGGUAGUUGGUGGGAUAAAAGCUUACCAAGCCGACGAUCUGUAGCUGGUCUGAGAGGACGAUGACCCCGACUGGGACGUGGAGACGGCCGGGACUCCUGCGGGAGGCAGCAGUGGGGAUUUUUGGACAAUGGGCGAAAGCCUGGUCGAGCAAGGCGGCGUGCAGGAUGAAGGCCUUCGGGUUGUAAACUGUUUUUGUACGGAACGAAAAGCUCCGGGUUAAUACGCUGGGGUUAUGACGGUACCGUAAGAAUAAGCACCGGCUAACUACGUGCCAGCCGCCGCAGUAA
rnacentral:rRNA from 1 species